GACAGAGGGUGCAAACGUUGCUCGGAAUCACUGGGCGUAAAGGGCGUGUAGGCGGGAAGUAAAGUCAGAUGUGAAAUCCCUGGGCUCAACCCAGGAACUGCAUUUGAAACUCACUUUCUUGAGUACCGGAGAGGAAGGUGGAAUACCUGGUGUAGAGGUGAAAUUCGUAGAUAUCAGGUGGAACACCAGCGGCGAAGGCGGCCUUCUGGACGGUAACUGACGCUGAGACGCGAAAGCGUGGGGAGCAAACAGG
rnacentral:rRNA from 1 species